GACGAACGCUGGCGGCGUGCCUAAUACAUGCAAGUCGAACGCAGUGGGGACGGGUGAGUAACACGUGGGUAACCUCCCAUCAGAGGGGAUAACACUUGGAAACAGGUGCUAAACCCAUACUGAUGGAUGGACCCUCGGUGCAUUGGCCAGUUGGUGAGGUAACGGCCGACCAAGGCCACGAUGCAUAGCCGACCUGGGAGGGUGAUCGGCCACACUGGGACUGAGACACGGCCCCGACUCCUACGGGAGGCAGCAGUAGGGAAUCUUCGGCAAUGGACGGAAGUCUGACCGAGCAACGCCGCGUGAGUGAAGAAGGUUUUCGGAUCGUAAAGCUCUGUUGUAAGAGAAGCGGUAUCUUACCAGAAAGGGACGGCUAACUACGUGCCAGCAGCCGCGGUAAUAC
rnacentral:rRNA from 1 species